UUUGAUCUCAAAUCAGAGAUGUGAUUGGGGG
rnacentral:rRNA from 1 species